UGAUGAUGAUGAUGAUGAUGGUGGUGGUGAUGAUGAUUGUGAUGAUGAUGAUGAUUAUGGUGGUGAUCACCAUCACCAUCAUCACCAUCAUCACCCUCAUCA
rnacentral:pre_miRNA from 1 species